UACGGAGGGUGCGAGCGUUGUCCGGAAUCACUGGGCGUAAAGGGCGCGUAGGCGGCAUGCCAAGCGUGUGGUGAAAGCCCGGGGCUCAACCCCGGGUCGGCCGUGCGGACUGGCGUGCUUGAGCACUGUAGGGGCGGGUGGAAUUCCGGGUGUAGCGGUGGAAUGCGUAGAUAUUGGGAGGAACACCAGUGGCGAAGGCGGCUCACUGGACCGGAACUGACGCUGAGGCGCGAAAGCGUGGGGAGCAAACAGG
rnacentral:rRNA from 1 species